rnacentral:rRNA from 1 species
UACGUAGGGUGCGAGCGUUGUCCGGAAUUAUUGGGCGUAAAGGGCUCGUAGGCGGUUUGUCGCGUCGGGAGUGAAAACACCGGGCUUAACUCGGUGCUUGCUUUCGAUACGGGCAGACUUGAGGCAUGCAGGGGAGAACGGAAUUCCUGGUGUAGCGGUGAAAUGCGCAGAUAUCAGGAGGAACACCGGUGGCGAAGGCGGUUCUCUGGACCACAACUGACGCUGAGGAGCGAAAGCAUGGGGAGCGAACAGG